rnacentral:rRNA from 2 species
GUGGCGAACGGGUGAGUAACACGUGAGUAACCUGCCCUUAACUCUGGGAUAAGCCUGGGAAACUGGGUCUAAUACCGGAUAUGACUCCUCAUCGCAUGGUGGGGGGUGGAAAGCUUUAUUGUGGUUUUGGAUGGACUCGCGGCCUAUCAGCUUGUUGGUGAGGUAAUGGCUCACCAAGGCGACGACGGGUAGCCGGCCUGAGAGGGUGACCGGCCACACUGGGACUGAGACACGGCCCAGACUCCUACGGGAGGCAGCAGUGGGGAAUAUUGCACAAUGGGCGAAAGCCUGAUGCAGCGACGCCGCGUGAGGGAUGACGGCCUUCGGGUUGUAAACCUCUUUCAGUAGGGAAGAAGCGAAAGUGACGGUACCUGCAGAAGAAGCGCCGGCUAACUACGUGCCAGCAGCCGCGGUAAUACGUAGGGCGCAAGCGUUAUCCGGAAUUAUUGGGCGUAAAGAGCUCGUAGGCGGUUUGUCGCGUCUGCCGUGAAAGUCCGGGGCUCAACUCCGGAUCUGCGGUGGGUACGGGCAGACUAGAGUGAUGUAGGGGAGACUGGAAUUCCUGGUGUAGCGGUGAAAU